UACGUAGGGCGCAAGCGUUGUCCGGAAUUAUUGGGCGUAAAGAGCUCGUAGGCGGUCUGUUACGUCCGCUGUGAAAACCCAGGGCUUAACCCUGGGCUUGCAGUGGAUACGGGUAGACUAGAGGCAAGUAGGGGAGAAUGGAAUUCCCGGUGUAGCGGUGAAAUGCGCAGAUAUCGGGAGGAACACCGGUGGCGAAGGCGGUUCUCUGGGCCUGACCUGACGCUGAGGAGCGAAAGCGUGGGGAGCGAACAGG
rnacentral:rRNA from 1 species